UAGGGAGACCCAGCUUGGGAGUCCUCGAGUAGCGAGCGGACGACCAGAGGUUAUCCCAGGUCGGUCGGGGUUGAGGGGGUGGUUGACUGGGUUCUGGUGAGGCGGUGGGGAUGGGCUAUUAGCUCAGGUGGUUAGAGCGCACCCCUGAUAAGGGUGAGGUCCCUGGUUCGAGUCCAGGAUGGCCCACUGCCUGGCUGGUAGGGGCUGGGUCAGGUCUGGGCUGGGGGUAUAGCUCAGUGGGUAGAGCGCUGCCUUUGCACGGCAGAAGUCAGCGGUUCGAGUCCGCUUACCUCCACCAAAGGCGGGGAAGCAGGUUGGCUGAGAGCCUAGGGAAGGGAGUAGGCUUACAGCCGGUCUGAGCCGGCCAGCACUUUGAAAACUGCAUAGCAAGAGAGCCGAGCAGGUAGGACACCGAGGGAUGCGGUCAAGUGAGCUAAGGGCGCAC
rnacentral:tRNA from 1 species